UACAGAGGUGGCAAGCGUUGUUCGGAAUUACUGGGCGUAAAGGGCGCGUAGGCGGUCGGGCAAGUCCUGUGUGAAAUCCCUCGGCUCAACUGAGGAACUGCACGGGAAACUGCCUGACUUGAGUUCGGGAGAGGGAAGCGGAAUUCCGGGUGUAGCGGUGAAAUGCGUAGAUAUCCGGAGGAACACCGGUGGCGAAGGCGGCAUCCUGGACCGGCAUUGACGCUGAGGCGCGAAAGCCAGGGGAGCAAACGGG
rnacentral:rRNA from 1 species